rnacentral:rRNA from 1 species
UCCAGACUCCUACGGGAGGCAGCAGUGGGGAAUAUUGGACAAUGGGGGAAACCCUGAUGCAGCGACGCCGCGUGAGUGAAGAAGUAUUUCGGUAUGUAAAGCUCUAUCAGCAGGGAAGAAGUUGACGGUACCUGAGUAAGAAGCCCCGGCUAACUACGUGCCAGCAGCCGCGGUAAUACGUAGGGGGCAAGCGUUAUCCGGAUUUACUGGGUGUAAAGGGAGCGUAGACGGCAGUGCAAGUCUGAAGUGAAAGCCCGGGGCUUAACCCGGGAACUGCUUUGGAAACUGUACGGCUGGAGUGCUGGAGAGGUAAGCGGAAUUCCUAGUGUAGCGGUGAAAUGCGUAGAUAUUAGGAGGAACACCAGUGGCGAAGGCGGCUUACUGGACAGUAACUGACGUUGAGGCUCGAAAGCGUGGGGAGCAAACAGGAUUAGAUACCCCUGUA